AUUGAACGCUAGCGGGAUGCCUUACACAUGCAAGUCGAACGGAGUGGCGAACGGGUGAGUAAUGUAUCGGAACGUGCCCAGUAGCGGGGGAUAACUACGCGAAAGCGCAGCUAAUACCGCAUACUAUUGGAGCGGCCGUUAUCGGAUUUGCUACUGGGUGGGGUAACGGCUCACCAAGGCGACGAUCCGUAGCUGGUGUGAGAGGACGACCAGCCACACUGGAACUGCGACACGGCCCUGACUCCUACGGGAGGCAGCGGUGGGGAAUUUUGGACUAUGGGGGAGACCCUGAUCGAGCCAUCCCGCGUGUGCGAUGAAGGCCUUCGGGUUGUAAAGCACGUUUGGCAGGAAAGCGGUACCUGCAGAGUAAGCACCGGCUAACUACGUGCCAGCAGCCGCGGUAAUUC
rnacentral:rRNA from 1 species